rnacentral:rRNA from 1 species
UACGUAGGGCGCAAGCGUUGUCCGGAAUUAUUGGGCGUAAAGAGCUCGUAGGCGGCCUGUUACGUCUGCUGUGAAAUCCCGGGGCUUAACCCCGGGCGCGCAGUGGAUACGGGCAGGCUGGAGGCAGGCAGGGGAGAACGGGAAUUCCCGGUGUAGCGGUGAAAUGCGCAGAUAUCGGGAGGAACACCGGUGGCGAAGGCGGUUCUCUGGGCCUGUACUGACGCUGAGGAGCGAAAGCGUGGGGAGCGAACAGG